UUGUCAAAUUAACCAUGGGAAGAGAGGC
rnacentral:piRNA from 1 species